rnacentral:rRNA from 1 species
GUCCAAGCAGUGAGUGUGAGAAGUAGGCAAAUCCGCUUCUCGCGAAGCAUGAGCUGUGAUGGGGAAGGAAAUUAAGUACGGAAGUUCCUGAUUUCACGCUGUCAAGAAAAGCCUCUAGGAAGAGUAGUACUGCCCGUACCGCAAACCGACACAGGUAGAUGAGGAGAGAAUCCUAAGGUGAGCGAGAGAACUCUCGUUAAGGAACUCGGCAAAAUGACCCCGUAACUUCGGGAGAAGGGGUGCUCUAUUAGGGUGCAAGCCCGAGAGAGCCGCAGUGAAUAGGCCCAGGCGACUGUUUAGCAAAAACACAGGUCUCUGCAAAACCGUAAGGUGACGUAUAGGGGCUGACGCCUGCCCGGUGCUGGAAG